CUUCAACAAGGGGCUGGAGAGAUGGCUCAGAGGUUAAGAGCACUGACUGCUCUUCCAGAGGUCCUGAGUUCAAUUCCCAGCAACCACAUGGUAGCUCACAACCAUCUGCAACACAAUCUGAUUCCCUCUUCUGGUGUGUCUGAAGAGAGUGACAGGGUACUCACUUAUAUAAAAUAAAUAAAAUCUUAAAAAAAAAAACUUCAACAAUUGACGGAAGGCUGGAAUGUUGCAGAUCCAGGUCUAAUUCAAUUAUCUUGGGCUCUCUGUAGUUCCUUAAGUAGCCAUUCCUUGCCCACCUCUAUGUCUGACCUAACUGAUAUCCUGUGACUAACAGAUAAAACAUUUAGAGAUGUGUCAAACCUCACAAAGCCCUUCUUUUUGCUGAUUGAAAGGUUAAUAGUGCCAUCAGAUGGAGACCUACAGCUGAUAUGUCCCUCUUUUUCUACAACUGCACGCUUAACAUUUCCACCAACGUAUUUGAAUUUUCGUUUUGUUCGUUUGUUUGUUUGUUUUGAGACAGGGUUUCUCUGUGUAGCCCUGGCUGUCCCGGAACUCACUCUGUAGACCAGGCUGGACUUUGAACUCACAGACAUCCACCUGCAUCUGCCUCCUUAGUGCUGGGAUUAAAGGUGUGCGCUACCACCAUUAAUAAAUUUGAAAAAUCUAUUGAUUUACAACUUUCUUCUGUUACUAUAAAAACUUCAAACUCUUAACACAUUGGGGCAUAGAAUUUGGGCUGAUCUAAAAAUCCGGGUUUCCCCGUCCAGAGUCAUUUUUUAUUCCAGAAUAAACGAUACCUCACCCCUUUUGAAGAGAGAACGGUUUCUUUUGUGGACAGCUAUGUAAUGUCUCAUGACUCGAGGGCAGAGAUACAGACAAAGAAAGCUCGACUCAUGUUGGUGUUCUAGGAUUACUUAACUUUAUCCUCCCCCCAUCUGGAAGCCUCACCGAGGCUCUGGAGGCUCUGGAAUAAACCAACUCCGAGUCUCCUGGAGCCUGGCCUUGGUAAACAAUAGCCCUGGCUGGCAGAUGUCUUCUAGUGCCUAGCAACUUCCGGUUUUGGCCAGGCAACCCCUAAGCCUUUGGCAACUUCAGUCCUUACCCCCACCCCCACCCCCCAAGGCAGGAAGGAGAAACCAUACCCACAUCAAGGAGACCAAAAUGCAAAUUACAACCACCUUCUGCUGAGAGAGCAUCAUGUGCAUGGGUACAUGCUGGCAAGAUGUCCCCUGACCUGCUAGUCCAUGACAGGAUCUGCAGAUCCUACCCCAACAGGUCAAUAUUGCAGACUUUGCAGACCAUAGAGCCUUUGGUAUUAUAGGUGGAGUCCCUGAGCAGCACACCGAAGGGACAGUCUAAAUAUCGGCAACUGCUUUCCCCGUCUCAGCCAUCUUGAGAUACCACCACAGUUGUGGCAUCAACUCUCCAGCCUCUGUAAGCAGUUCAGCGGUGAUGGCACUUCAGUCAAAGCUGCCUGCAGAUGGUAAGGUCUUCUUAUCCUAAUCCAUGGACCCAAUACAGGGAAAAGGAUGGGGAUAAAAAGCCACCAAUCCCUGUGCUCCAGGACUUGAAAUCCCACCAAUCGUUACUCUGGAAAUCUCUGCCCUGAAAAGUCCCGCCCCCAAAUAAAUCCUAUAUAAGCCCUGUCCUUUGUUCACUUGCUUGCUGGUCACUUCCAGGAGCAGAGACAGCCACUUCGGCAUUCGUCCUUCUGUACCCUGAACCCUCCCAAUAACUUUCUUUUAUGAGAUUUAGUGCCUGGUGUGACUUUCUCAUUGGAAGAAGCCAAGAAGAAAAGAAGCAAUGAAGAGAAAAAGCGAAGAAGAAUCAGGGCUGAGGCUCCCGAGCUGCACCACCUCUGCUGAGGAGGCUUCCUCUCAGAGCUGUGUGGUUCCUGAGUUUUCUGAAUCCCAGGAUACCCAUCCAUCUGAGCAGGAACAUUUUCAGUGCGUACAACAGUAUAGAGAUCGGAGUAGCUAGUAAAUGCACAACAGAAAAGGUGACAUUUGAAUGCAUAUAAGUGCAGGAUUCACUAGGGCAAGCAACUGCAGAGAAAACCAGCCUGCUGUAAAACCUGGUGUGAUUAUGUGAGAAACAGCCUAGUGACUUACAUCUGUAAUCUCAGCGGUCACGAGUCUGAGACUGAAAGGCUGCCUUGGGUUUAGGGGCCAGCCUGUGCUACCUAGUGAUUUCCAGGACAUUCAAAGGGAGAUUCUAUUCUAAAAAUUAAAGUUAUGGGGGGAAAAAAAAAGAAGACACAAAUUCCAGGACAUUUGUGGUUCAACGAGUACUGACAUACUUCCUGGGCCCAUGCUCUUAAAAAACCUCUCUGGACCAAGUUUGAGGCCAGCCUGGUCUAGUGUUUUAGGACCAUCAGGGAUACAGAGAGAAACCCUGUUAGAACCUCUGUUCCCCACGCCCCCCAAAAAACCAAAACUAUAAACUUCUUUGGGCUUUUAUUGUCAUUAAAUGGGAUGGGAAGCGGCUGUAGGAGAGAGCGAGAUCCACCAGGCUUCUGGGUCCCCUGAGGUCACACUAUAAAAACAAGAACUCUUCUCCAUUUUGCGUUGCAUUUUCUGGAUUCCGGGUGAUCAUUACGUGCUUUCCUUUAUCCGGGCCUCUCAACAACUCUGUGAGGUACAAAUUAUGAACCUCACUCUAUACACAAAUGAUCUGCUCAAGGUCAAGAAAGCGGG
ensembl:lncRNA